UACGUAGGGUGCGAGCGUUAAUCGGAAUUACUGGGCGUAAAGCGUGCGCAGGCGGUUCCGCAAGUCAGAUGUGAAAUCCCCGGGCUUAACCUGGGAACUGCAUUUGAAACUAUGGGGCUAGAGUGUGUCAGAGGGGGGUAGAAUUCCACGUGUAGCAGUGAAAUGCGUAGAGAUGUGGAGGAACACCGAUGGCGAAGGCAGCCCCCUGGGUCAACACUGACGCUCAUGCACGAAAGCGUGGGGAGCAAACAGG
rnacentral:rRNA from 1 species